GAGGUGGGAGAAUUGCUUAAGUCUGGGAGGUUGAGGCUUCAGUGAACUGUGAUCAUACCACUGCACUCCAGCCUGGGAGACAGAGUUAGACCCUAUCUC
ensembl:miRNA